rnacentral:rRNA from 1 species
UACGGAGGGUGCAAGCGUUAAUCGGAAUUACUGGGCGUAAAGCGCGUGUAGGCGGCUUUGCAAGUCGGUUGUGAAAUCCCCAAGCUCAACUUGGGAACUGCACUCGAGACUGCAUUGCUAGAGUAUGGGAGAGAGAAGUGGAAUUUCCGGUGUAGCGGUGAAAUGCGUAGAUAUCGGAAGGAACAUCAGUGGCGAAAGCGACUUCUUGGACCAAUACUGACGCUCAAGUGCGAAAGCGUGGGGAGCAAAC